rnacentral:rRNA from 1 species
AAAACAUCUUUUCUUGAUUAAUUAAAUAAGAGAUUUAACCUGCUCUAUGAUUAUUAUUUAAUGGCCGCGGUAUUUUGACUGUGCAAAGGUAGCAUAAUAAUUAGUUUAUUAAUUGUGGACUUGUAUGAAUGGUUGGACGAAAUAUUGACUGUCUCGUUUUAAUUUAUUUAUAAUUUAAAAUUUGAGUUAAAAUGCUUAAAUUUUUUUAAAGGACGAGAAGACCCUAUAGAUCUUUAUUUAUUUGAUUAUUUAUUUGUUUUUAGUUUAUUUAUUGUUUAUAAUUUCUUAUUUUUGGUUGGGGUGACAUGGAGAACGGAUAUAACUCUUUAUUUUUGUAUACAUUUAUUUAUGUAUAGUUGACUUUUUAUUAUUGUUAUAAGAUUUAGAUACCUUAGGGAUAACAGCGUAAUUCUUUUUGAGAGCUCUAAUCGACAAAGGAGAUUGCGACCUCGAUGUUGGAUUAAGAUUAUAAUUAGGUGUAGUUAUUUAGUUAUUAGGUCUGUUCGACCUUUAAUUUCUUACA